rfam:Picea glauca, whole genome shotgun sequence.
AUCCCAGGUAAUCCCUUUUUAAAAUGAUUAUCUGAUUCAUGGGAGGCAGAGAUUAACCAUGGAAGUUUCAUUGAUAGCAUCCUUAUUGUAUGGGUGUUUUCUGAUAGUUCGUUGAGAGCAU